ACACACACCCCUGGUGCGGCCCAGGACAGGCUUGUGAACGCCUCCUGAGCUCAGAAGGUGGCCAGCACUUUCUGAAAUAAAGUGAAAACAGAACAGCUUCAAAUCACUCUUGCUGUCCUGUGAGGAUCAGUAAGUACAAAAACAAAGACCCCUGCUUUAAACUGCUUCAGGACCGAAAAGACUGUCCUGAAAUUGCCGGAGAGCCUUGUUUCGUGUGUAAAGAUCUAAGAGCCGGCCCUCCAGGUGCAGUGGAUAGAAGACAAGUGCAGAGCCUCCCUGUCCCUAGAGCCAGAAGAAAACACACUCGCAGCACAUGAUUCAGCUCCGCGGUGGUUUGCAUGUGGCUGACCAUGCCUGCCAUCCGAGUGGCAUCACCCCCUUUCUGUAGAGCCUCUCAGCCCUCACCAGCACUGGCAGUCCGUCAGGGGAAAGAGAACAUGGCACUUCGGCCCUUUCUACCCCUGCUGUUCUCCCCUUUGGUUAAACAGCCUUCAUUCAGACCAAGCAUGGAUCAAGAGACCAAGAUGUCUUUUGGUAAAGCAGAAUUUCAGAGAAAAUUGUUGAUUGAUUAUAAUUUAAUAUUUUUUAUUCUAGUCAGAAACUUUAAAAUAUUGGUAAUGUGCAAAUCAUACUACAGAGUCUCUUUUUAUAUUUUAGAGUAUCUUAUAAAGAAUAUUCGAGGCCAUUUGAGGCAGGUGAGGUAUAGUAGAAUAGGUAAGUAAAUUGUAUUUGAGUCAAGCGAUCUGGGUACCCAUCCUGGCCAUAUAGCAGGCCAGCUAUGUGUUCCUUACCACAGCCUCAUGGGAUUGGACAAGGAAAGGUUGCCACCUACAUUCUAAGGGUGUGGCAUUCACAAGCAAUAAACGAGAGAGCCUGUGGCAUAGUGCCCAGCACAUGUAGGCACACAAAAAUUUACUCCCAUCUGCAUUACACCCCCCACACACACACAAUGUUGUUUCAACAGAUAAUAAACUUUAGCCUAUACACAGUAAAAAGUGACAUUUUUUUU